GGACUACUGGGGUUUCUAAUCCCGUUCUCUCCCCUAGCUUUCGCGCCUCAGCGUCAGAUGAGGUCCAGAGCGCCGCUUUCGCCACCGGAGUUCCGGAUGAUAUCAACACAUUUCACCGCUCCACCAUCCGUUCCGCGCUCCCCUACCUCCCUCGAGGCCGCCAGUAUCCAAGGCACUUCUCCAGUUGAGCUGGAGGAUUUCACCCCGGACUUGAUGGCCCGCCUACGCGCCCUUUAAGCCCAGUGAUUCCGAACAACGUUCGCACGGUUCGUCUUACCGCGGCUGCUGGCAC
rnacentral:rRNA from 1 species